GGCAGCUCCCUGGGUGAUAUCCGUCCACGUCCGUAGAGUCGGGGCACCGUGACUUGAGACCACGGACACCCUCUCUCCCACCGCGGGCGGGCGUCUGUGGGAGGCGAGUGAUUCUCUUCGAGGUCACCUUAUCACGAACCCCUGCUUCCGAUGAAUUUUUACUUUUCUGACCAUUCUGCGCUCCUUUAGUGUCUUUUAAGAAAGAGCCGGAGGGGAGACGUCCUGGCGAAGGCCGCUUAGCCCCACACCUGAUGCAGGAGAGAGAAGGUGCGAGCGGACUGAGAAGGAACAGAUCGGCUUCCAGAUAAAUAAGCAAAGGCAGCCUGCACGGAGAGGGCUGCUUAGAGACCGCUCGCGACUUGCGCUAACUUUCAAGUUACUGAGAUUGUGUGAGCCAAGCGCAGACGGCGGAAGGGCUGCGAGGACCUGAGCCCGGCAUGUGGCCUCGCAGAUGGAGCCAAUAUCGAGGCCACUUCUCUUCUCUGGCUGACGGAUCGCUUCUUCCCAACCGAAAACCGUCGCCGAGAUAGAGGCUUGGGCCUCGCGCCUUGCUCCGGGGCCGCCGAAGCCCUGACAGCGCCCCUGGCCGGAGAGGAGAGGUCGCCAGGAGCCUGGCCCGCACGUCGCCUCGCCGGGCCGGGCAGGAAAAGGACGUCUCGGAGGUGGCAGCACGCGGAGCUGGACUCCAGACGAGCUCGCUCCAGCCCAUUUCAACCCUCGGCUCCGGCUCCUGCGCCCUGAGGUGGGCUGCUAAUCACUGCCGGGCGCUUGCGACCCGCGAGCCGGCCUGGGGCCAAGCGAUUUUCCCUGUUUUUCCCGAAGGUUGUUACCGGCCUCCCACUUGACUUGGGCCUGAGACAGAGGACUGACGCGGGUGCGGUGCGCAGGGAGCUUUCCCCGCCGGAUCCUAAACGUGAUGUGUGCUGAACGUGCACGGGGCGCUAGGUGCAGCCACAAACUUGUGGGCUGAAGUUGAAAACCUCUCUCUCUCUCUCUCUCUCUCUCUCUCUCUCUCUCUCUCUCCUUUCGCCCUCUUUUCCUUCCUUGGCCUCCUCCCACUUAAACUGCAAGCUGGGCAGAUGGUUUUAAGGUGUACAGGGUAAAUGUCCCUUACUCCUACCACUUUUAUUUGUGGAUAGAUACUAACUUCUAUGUUAGCUUACAGAUACUUAAGGAAAAAAUAAUAGGCCGGGGACGGUGGUUUGGAUCCAUUCUCACAACCCCAACUCCCCCCUUAACACACCCCGCUUACCUCGAAAGGGACCCAACCAAUAGAAGCAUUAUUAUUCCACACUGCAGCUCAUGGGCAUGUUGGGAGCCAUUUCAGUUCCCAGCCUAAACUGUCACGUCCCCAUUAGAACACUGGAUACACUAGCCUAGCGAUCGCUGGAGGCAUGAGUGUGAGGGUGAGCAUUUGCACGGUGGAGGGAGGGGUGUCUGGGGGCGGGAAAGGGCCUGCAGAGGGCUGGUGAUGCUCCUGAAAGCCUUUCUUAUUGCUGACACCAACCUGGUUGACCUUAUUAUUCCUCCUCCUCUUCCUCCUCCUCUUCUUAACGUUUGAAUUCCGUGCCUAAAGUUUCCCACAGAGUAUACACUGUGACAUACUAACACCGCUGUUCUGAUUCAAAGAGGAGACUUCCUAUCUCUUCACAGUUUGAUGAACCUGAAGCUGAAAUUGUAAAUGUCCUAGAAAGGCGUGGUGUCCCCCCCCCCCCCGUCGCAGAAGAUGGUGGUAAUAGCCAGCCAGCCUGGGGUUCUAGCAACGAACCUCAUAAAUACUCUUGUCACAACACACGAUUCAACCUUUGAUCUGACUAAAUGUGAGGGACGCAGGAAAACUGCUGGUCCCCGUUCAACCUAAAAAACAUGCAUCUACUGGAGUAGGCAUGAAAGUUUCUACUUCCCAGCUCCUGCGAGCCCUAGCUUUUAUAGGAUCUUUAAGUGAUAAACUCGCCUGCUUUAUUAAAAGCCGUUUACUGUCCCCAGCGAAAGGCAUCUUCUCUCUGUGGCUGGAGGCUCUCUCUUCAGCGUCUGUUACCUUGCAAAGCCCAGAGCUGCCUUAUCUAGAGAACCCGUGCUGGGUAUUUCUCAUCUCAGAAAGUCAAGCCAAAAUGAACUUUCUUCGGUUUCAAGUUGGAGUCUGAGAUUCUAGCGUUUGAUAUGUCUUGCCUAAUAAACUUUAAACUUUGUUA